UUUUGUCGUUUGUUCGACACAUCAUAUCUCCAGUAUUGCGAAUCAAGUUCAAUAUCACUAGCUCUCUUUGUGGUUUCUUUACGACGAUCCACUUGGUCAACUAAUGUAUACGGUGAUAAGGUAGUAUUUGGUGGCUUUGCACUGAUCUCAGCAGCUGCCAUGGCAGAUGAUGGAGUUGGAGAAAGCGCAUGAAGAAAUUUCUGAGGAGCAGAUGCAGGAAACAACAAUCACAAAAUGCCUUUAACAGCUAAAUCUAGCAGUUUGUAGUGCUUGAAACAAUAAACACUUCAGAUAAUCCUCGCAAGAUAAGAAAUGUCUGAACUCUUUAAACAGGAGGGAAGAGCACGGCAGAGCACAGGAAAUAUUCAAGUAGACAAGAAACAACCACCUCUUAUUUGGUGGUCCAGUGAAAGCAUAGUAGCAAUUUAAAUGUUCCUCAAUUUAGAUAUCAAUAUUGUACCAUCACAAUCCAGGUUAAUGCUUCAUUAAUAGAAAUUUAUAGGUAAAAACCUCACUGAAUACAACAAAUACUCAGUAUAUAAGCAAGUCACACCUGUUUCUCUUUAUUC